rnacentral:rRNA from 1 species
GGCGGCGUGCUUAACACAUGCAAGUCGAACGAACCUUCGGGUUAGUGGCGGACGGGUGAGUAACGCGUGGGAAUCUGCCCUCAGGAGGGGGAUAACGGUUGGAAACGACCGCUAAUACCCCAUAUGCCGAGAGGUGAAAUGAAUUUCGCCUGAGGAUGAGCCCGCGUCUGAUUAGCUUGUUGGUGAGGUAAUGGCUCACCAAGGCAUCGAUCAGUAGCUGGUCUGAGAGGAUGAUCAGCCACACUGGGACUGAGACACGGCCCAGACUCCUACGGGAGGCAGCAGUGGGGAAUUUUCCGCAAUGGGCGAAAGCCUGACGGAGCAACGCCGCGUGAGGGACGAAGGCCUCUGGGCUGUAAACCUCUUUUCUCAAGGAAGAAGAUAUGACGGUACUUGAGGAAUAAGCCACGGCUAAUUCCGUGCCAGCAGCCGCGGUAAUACGGGAGUGGCAAGCGUUAUCCGGAAUUAUUGGGCGUAAAGCGUCCGCAGGCGGCCUUUCAAGUCUGCUGUUAAAGCGUGGAGCUUAACUCCAUCAUGGCAGUGGAAACUGAUUGGCUUGAGUAUGGUAGGGGCAGAGGGAAUUCCCGGUGUAGCGGUGAAAUGCGUAGAUAUCGGGAAGAACACCAGUGGCGAAGGCGCUCUGCUGGGCCAUUACUGACGCUCAUGGACGAAAGCCAGGGGAGCGAAAGGGAUUAGAUACCCCUGUAGUCCUGGCCGUAAACGAUGAACACUAGGUGUCGGGGGAAUCGACCCCUUCGGUGUCGUAGC